rnacentral:rRNA from 1 species
GGUAACUGCGGGCUGGCGGCUAGGGUAAUUAGAAGGGUGCAAGAGUGACGUGGAAGUACUGGGCGUAAAGGGUGCGGAGGUUGGUUGUUAAGUCUGAUGUGAAAGCCCGGGGCUCAACCUGGGAACUGCAUUGGAUACUGGCUUACUGGAGUGCGGUAGAGGGUAGCGGAAUUCCCGGUGUAGCAGUGAAAUGCGUAGAUAUCGGGAGGAACAUCCGUGGCGAAGGCGGCUACCUGGACCAGCACUGACACUGAGGCACGAAAGCGUGGGGAGCAAACAGGAUUAGAUACCCUGGUAGUC